GAUCAGGAUUUCCGCUUCCGCCCCUUUCCGGCGGUGACGACCUCCUCACGAGAACAUGCCUCUCGCAAAGGAUCUUCUUCAUCCCUCUCCAGAAGAGGAGAAGAGGAAACACAAGAAGAAGCGCCUGGUGCAGAGCCCCAAUUCCUAUUUCAUGGAUGUAAAAUGCCCAGGAUGCUAUAAAAUCACCACCGUCUUUAGCCAUGCACAAACAGUAGUCUUGUGUGUUGGCUGCUCUACUGUCCUCUGCCAGCCUACAGGAGGAAAAGCGAGGCUUACAGAAGGAUGCUCUUUCAGACGGAAGCAGCACUAAAAGUACCCUGUAUCAAGAUGAACGGGAAACCAUCCCAAUAAACACGUUUUGGAUACAUCCUGUUUACUGUCUUGUUUUACUUCUAGGAGGUUCCUACCUCACGUAUUCAGGGGCAACCAGAAGAGUGGAUUCUAGAGUCAUUUGGGGCAAUUUGUGAAAUGAAGGCAGUUUCCAAGUCUAAAUUCUACGGUGCUGAAUAUAAGGACUCCUUACCUAGAAAGAGGAAAGCUGUUGAUGCCAGCAUCACAAAGAGGGUAAAAAGGAGACUCUGGUAAGAACCUGCAAACUUCUGGAGAACACCUGAACCGUCACAUUGAUCUACGCGUUGGCAGAAUAAAAGAAGAUAGUUUUUUUAAUAUAUACAGGACAGAUGUUGCAUUUAAAAAUUGUAUGCUUCUGAGAUAUCUAGCUGAAGCACUCAAAACUUAGCCCUCUAGGAAAUUCUUUUUGUUUCUUACCAGAGAAAAAGGGGUGAACUGUACUUGGUGCCUCUACCUUUUUGGCUUUUUAUCACUAACAUAAUAAACUACAAUUCUUAAGCCUUUUCAGCUUCCAAAAGAAUGUUUAAAUUCUCUGCCACUGUAAAAUGCCUGUUAUCUCUCCUGUGUACUUUAACUCCAAGUGACAUCCUUCAACUUGUAAUCCCUCUAACCUGAAACAAUGACCCAGGAGCCACUUGUCCUUUUUUAUUCAGCUAUCAUUUCUAGGGAACAUGAUUUGUAUAUAAAUUUGUCCUCAAUAAAAGUUAAGACAUGUCUUUUGAAGCAUA
rnacentral:sRNA from 1 species